GACGAACGCUGGCGGCGUGCUUAACACAUGCAAGUCGAACGGAAAGGCCUGCUUUCCCUUGUGGAUUGCGGGUACUCGAGUGGCGAACGGGUGAGUAACACGUGAGUGAUCUGCCCCCAACUUGGGUAUAAGCCUGGGAAACUGGGUCUAAUUCCCGAUAGGACUGCAGGGUGGUGCCUGUGGUGGAAAACGAUUUUCUAGUGGUUGGGGAUGAGCUCGCGGCCUAUCAGCUUGUUGGUGGGGUAAUGGCCUACCAAGGCGGCGACGGGUAGCCGGCCUGAGAGGGUGGACGGGCACAUUGGGACUGAGAUACGGCCCAGACUCCGACGGGAGGCAGCAGUGGGGAAGAGUGCACAAGGGGCGGAAGCCUGAUGCAGCGACGCCGCGUGGGGGAUGACGGCCUUCGGGUUGUAAACUCCUUUCGACCGCGAGGAAGCCACCUGGUUGGAAGGGUGGUGACGGUAGUGGUAGAAGAAGCACCGGCUAACUACGUG
rnacentral:rRNA from 1 species